GACGAACGCUGGCGGCGUGCUUAACACAUGCAAGUCGUACGGUAAGGCCCUUUCUGGGGUACAUGAGUGGCGAACGGGCGGGUAACACGUGAGUAACCUGCCUACCACUUUGGGAUAACGAUAGGAUACUGGCGCCAAUUAAUGAUAUGUGCUCCUGCUGCAUGGAUGGGGUUGGUAAGCUCCGGCGGUCGUGGAUGGAGUCGCGGCCUAUCAGCUUGUUGGUGGGGUAGUGGCCUACCAAGGCGGCGACGGGUAGCCGGCCUGAGAGGGUGAGCGGCCAAAUUGGGACUGAGAUACGGCCCAGACGCCUACGGGAGGCAGCAGUGGGGAAUAUUGCACAAUGGGCGCAAGCCUGAUGCAGCAACGCCGCGUGCGGGAUGACGGCCUUCGGGUUGUAAACCGCUUUCAGCAGGGACGAAGCUUUUUGUGACGGUACCUGCAGAAGAAGCACCGGCUAACUACGUG
rnacentral:rRNA from 1 species